GAUGGCAGAUGAGGAUAACCCUUAAGCCUGGGCCGUCUAAAACUAGGGAGACCAAAGGGGCUUUUGUGGCCGCUGACUGGUGCAUACCGCUUCUCCAGCAUCCUGUACCUAUGGAUCAAGGUGCAGGGAGAGGAAUGCACCCCACCUGAGAGACUGCCAAAGACAAUCUGGGAAGGCGCACUGGUUAUUUUUCACAGAAGGGAGUUUGACCUUAGACCUCUUCCGCUCCAAGUGUCAGCUGGAAUCCUAGGAGAGAAUCUGACAUCUUGUCUAGGAGUGAUCCUUGCCUUAUUCCUCACUGACCAGGACUUCUGUUUGAAAUAGUCAAUAUUUGCCAGUGCCCCACACUCUCCACACAUCCCCCCACCAUCCCAGCUCCCAGCCAGCCAUGCUUCCAACACUAAGGCUCAGAGGGGAGUCCUGCCUUUACUUGGGGUAGACAGUGUCCCAGAGAGACAGACACCCUGACAGGCCAUGCCCUGAGGUAAGAACAGGCUUCCAUUGGCUCUGGUGCUGUGCCUUGUGUUUUCACACAUGCAACCUCACUUCAACCCUGUGGGGUGGUUCCUAUUAUCACUGUUUUGUGGAUAAUAAAGCCAGACGCAGAGCUCUGAGUAUAAGGUCACACAGCUAGCACUCGGCAGAGGCAGGAUUUGAACACAAGAGAUCUGGCUUUUACAUCACAUCAUCCCAGGAUUUGGAAGAGGAUUUAGUUGUGAAUAAGAAUCUUCCUGCUCCCCUUCCUCCAUUCUCUCUACCUGCAGACCUCAGAUCCUCCUGCCAGGAGCCUAAGGGCCUUUUGAGGGCAGUGCCCUGCUUCUGCCUCGUUAUUUGAGGAGUCUCAAGAGAGUGGGUCUACAUGAGAAAGUCACCCCUAAAUUAUACCCUGGGUAUCCUCAGUCCUCGGGCCCUGGCAAGGCAGCCUAGGCCCAAGGCCCUAAGGCUUUAUAAGAGUAUCAGCCAGAAAACCUGAGUGGCUCAGUUGGUUAAGUGAUCUGCCUUUGGCUCAGAUCAUGAUCUCAGGGUCCUGGGAUCAAGUCCUGCAUCAGGCUCCCUGCUCAUCGAGGAGUCUGCUUCUCCUUUCUCUGAUCCUCUUCCUGCUUCUCUCUCUCAAAUAAAUAAAAAUAUUUUUUUUUCUUAAAGAUUUUAUUUAUUUAUUCAUGAGAGACACACAC
rnacentral:lncRNA from 1 species